UAAACGCCUCGAAAGAGGCGCUAAUACCGCAUAAUGCAGCGGCAGCAAAUGCUGAAUAGUUGUUAAAGCGGGGGACCUCGAAAGGGGCCUCGUGCCUGAAGAGGAGCCUGCGGCAGAUUAGCUAGUUGGUGGGGUAAUGGCCCACCAAGGCGACGAUCUGUAGCUGGUCUGAGAGGACGGCCAGCCACACUGGCACUGACACACGGGCCAG
rnacentral:rRNA from 1 species